UAAGGAAUAUUGGUCAAUGGACGGAAGUCUGAACCAGCCAUGCCGCGUGGAGGAUGAAGGCCCUCUGGGUUGUAAACUUCUUUUAUUUGGGACGAAACACUCUUUAUCUAAAGAGCUUGACGGUACCAGAUGAAUAAGCACCGGCUAACUCCGUGCCAGCAGCCGCGGUAAUACGGAGGGUGCAAGCGUUAUCCGGAUUCACUGGGUUUAAAGGGUGCGUAGGCGGAUUUGUAAGUCCGUGGUGAAAUCUCUAAGCUUAACUUGGAAAUUGCCGUGGAUACUAUAAGUAUUGAAUAGUGUGGAAGUUAGCGGAAUAUGUCAUGUAGCGGUGAAAUGCAUAGAUAUGACAUAGAACACCAAGAGCGAAGGCAGCUUGCUGGACAGAAACUGACUCUGAGAGACGAAAGCGUGGGGAGCAAACA
rnacentral:rRNA from 1 species